rnacentral:rRNA from 1 species
UACGAGGGGGGGCGAGCGUUUGUUCGGAAUUAUUGGGCGUAAAGGGUGCGUAGGCGGUUUGGUAAGUCUUGUGUGAAAUCUACAGGCUCAACUUGUAGUCUGCACGAGAAACUGCCGGGCUUGAGUAUGGGAGAGGUGAGUGGAAUUCCUGGUGUAGCGGUGAAAUGCGUAGAUAUCAGGAGGAACACCUGUGGCGAAAAGCGGCUCACUGGACCAUAACUGACGCUGAUGCACGAAAGCUAGGGGAGCAAACAGG